GAUGAACGCUGGCGGCGUGCCUAAUACAUGCAAGUCGAGCGAACAGACGAGGAGCUUGCUCCUCUGACGUUAGCGGCGGACGGGUGAGUAACACGUGGAUAACCUACCUAUAAGACUGGGAUAACUUCGGGAAACCGGAGCUAAUACCGGAUAAUAUAUUGAACCGCAUGGUUCAAUAGUGAAAGACGGUUUUGCUGUCACUUAUAGAUGGAUCCGCGCCGCAUUAGCUAGUUGGUAAGGUAACGGCUUACCAAGGCAACGAUGCGUAGCCGACCUGAGAGGGUGGUCGGCCACACUGGAACUGGAACACGGUCCAGACUCCUACGGGAGGCAGCAGUAGGGAAUCUUCCGCAAUGGGCGAAAGCCUGACGGAGCAACGCCGCGUGAGUGAUGAAGGUCUUCGGAUCGUAAAACUCUGUUAUUAGGGAAGAACAAAUGUGUAAGUAACUAUGCACGUCUUGACGGUACCUAAUCAGAAAGCCACGGCUAACUACGUG
rnacentral:rRNA from 1 species